UACAGAGGUGGCAAGCGUUGUUCGGAAUUACUGGGCGUAAAGGGCGCGUAGGCGGCCUUCUAAGUCAGACGUGAAAUCCCCCGGCUUAACCGGGGAACUGCGUCCGAUACUGGCAGGCUUGAAUCCGGGAGAGGGAUGCGGAAUUCCAGGUGUAGCGGUGAAAUGCGUAGAUAUCUGGAGGAACACCGGUGGCGAAGGCGGCAUCCUGGACCGGCAUUGACGCGUGAGGCGCGAAAGCCAGGGGAGCAAACGGG
rnacentral:rRNA from 1 species